rnacentral:tRNA from 1 species
GGGGGCGUAGCUCAGUCGGCAGAGCAACGGAUUUUUAAUCCGUCGGUCGCAGGUUCGAUUCCUGCCGCCCUCA